rnacentral:rRNA from 1 species
GUGAGGAAUAUUGGUCAAUGGGCGGGAGCCUGAACCAGCCAAGUCGCGUGAAGGAAGAAGGAUCUAUGGUUCGUAAACUUCUUUUGCAGGGGAAUAAAGUGCAGGACGUGUCCUGUUUUGUAUGUACCCUGAGAAUAAGGAUCGGCUAACUCCGUGCCAGCAGCCGCGGUAAUACGGAGGAUCUGAGCGUUAUCCGGAUUUAGUGGGUUUAAAGGGUGCGUAGGUGGUUUGAUAAGUCAGCGGUGAAAGUUUGCAGCUUAACUGUAAAAAUGCCGUUGAAACUGUCGGACUUGAGUGUAAAUGAGGUAGGCGGAAUGCGUGGUGUAGCGGUGAAAUGCAUAGAUAUCACGCAGAACUCCGAUUGCGAAGGCAGCUUACUAAGCUACAACUGACACUGAAGCACGAAAGCGUGGGGAUCAAACAGGAUUAGAAACCUUUGUAGUCC